AACGCGAAGAACCUUACCUGGGCUCGAAGCACAGUGGACCGGGGUAGAAAUACCCCUUUUCGCAAGAACUGCUGUGGAGGUGCUGCAUGGCUGUCGUCAGCUCGUGUCGUGAGAUGUUGGGUUAAGUCCCGCAACGAGCGCAACCCUUAUCGUUAGUUGCCAGCGGGUCAAGCCGGGCACUCUAGCGAAACCGCCCCGGAUAACGGGGAGGAAGGUGGGGAUGACGUCAAGUCCUCAUGGCCUUUAUGUCCAGGGCUACACACGUGCUACAAUGGUCGGUACAAACCGUCGCAAACCUGCGAAGGGGAGCUAAUCGGAAAAAGCCGGCCUCAGUUCGGAUUGGAGUCUGCAACUCGACUCCAUGAAGCUGGAAUCGCUAGUAAUCGCGGAUCAGCACGCCGCGGUGAAUACGUUCCCGGGCCUUGUA
rnacentral:rRNA from 1 species